UCCCUGGUGGCUCAGAUGGUAGAGCAUCUGCCUGCAAUGUGGGAGACCUGGGUUCGAUUCCUGGGUUGGGAA
rnacentral:tRNA from 1 species